UCUUCUUGAAUUCUUCUUCUUCCUUGGUGGAUCACCUCUAGAGGCCAAACACUUGGGUGGCUAACGUUGAUCAAAGGAAGGAACCAAACCCGGUGGAUUCAAGUUAAACGCGAAAAGGAUUGGAGGUGAACUUGUACCUGAGGAAGCUCGGAUCUUCAAGGGUAUGAUUCUUGUUCUUUCUUUUUCGUUUAAUUAAUAAUUG
rnacentral:lncRNA from 1 species